GAUGAACGCUGGCGGCGUGCCUAAUACAUGCAAGUCGAGCGAACAGACGAGGAGCUUGCUCCUCUGACGUUAGCGGCGGACGGGGGAGUAACACGUGGAUAACCUACCUAUAAGACUGGGAUAACUUCGGGAAACCGGAGCUAAUACCGGAUAAUAUAUUGAACCGCAUGGUUCAAUAGUGAAAGACGGUUUUGCUGUCACUUAUAGAUGGAUCCGCGCCGCAUUAGCUAGUUGGUAAGGUAACGGCUUACCAAGGCAACGAUGCGUAGCCGACCUGAGAGGGUGAUCGGCCACACUGGAACUGGGCCACGGUCCAGACUCCUACGGGAGGCAGCAGUAGGGAAUCUGCCGCAGUGGGCGAAAGCCUGACGGAGCAACGCCGCGUGAGUGAUGAAGGUCUUCGGAUCGUAAAACUCUGUUAUUAGGGAAGAACAAAUGUGUAAGUAACUAUGCACGUCUUGACGGUACCUAAUCAGAAAGCCACGGCUAACUACGUG
rnacentral:rRNA from 1 species